UACAGAGGGGGCGAGCGUUGUUCGGAAUUACUGGGCGUAAAGGGUGCGUAGGCGGCGCGGUAAGUCGGGUGUGAAAUCUCGGGGCUUAACUCCGAAACUGCAUUCGAUACUGCCGUGCUUGAGGACUGGAGAGGAGACUGGAAUUUACGGUGUAGCGGUGAAAUGCGUAGAUAUCGUAAGGAAGACCAGUGGCGAAGGCGGGUCUCUGGACAGUUCCUGACGCUGAGGCACGAAGGCCAGGGGAGCAAACGGG
rnacentral:rRNA from 1 species